ensembl:lincRNA 1700096K18Rik RIKEN cDNA 1700096K18 gene
GGGCUGCCGAAGGUCUCCUAGCCUUCGGGCCAGUGCCCGCCGAUCCUCCGGGAGCCAGGUCCGCGAUCUCCGGCGCCCGCCGUGGGCUCGGGAAAGCGCACAGCGCACUACUUGUCGCGGAGGGAUCCGGCCCCUGAGUUACCUGUUCUCCACUCGGAGCUGACCUCGGUCCAAGGGCCCGCAAGUCCGCCUCACCGAGAAGUAAUACAGGUUCGGAUCCGCGCCGCCGACCUCACAAUGGCGCGGGCGUCCAGCCACUGUCACGCAGCAUCCCGUGCGAUUAUUCGCCCAGAGCCUCACUGCUUAGGGGACCACGGCGGGGCCCUUCUCCCUCUCGCUCAUUCAGAAGAUGAGAACGUCCCCGCACGACACAACGACGCUGUUUUAACAAUACCCAACUAACUCUGCUCUUCCAAACUGCACACACUUAAAGGUGACAUGGCCACAGACGCUGGGUUGCAAUACUACGCUGGAAUUCUGCACUAAUUAUUUAAAAGCUUUCUUACAGUACUACAGCGAAACGACCGGUUACAAACCUUUCAUUUUCGUUCGAACACCGUACUCUAACCAAUGGAUAUUUUGUGAAUACUUCUAUUCAGUAUCUCUAGAUUUUUAAAAAAAAAAACCCAAAUGUAAAGAAAGACAUUACCAAAUGAGUGGUUCAUCAGUGAAAUAAUUUGUUUUGCCUUUACAUUUUAGCCUUUUUGGAAGGCACAUUAUUUGCAGUAUACACAGAUAUAAAUUUUGUACAUUUAAAAUAGCCUGUAUAGCCUUUUUGUCGUUCUUUCUUGAAGCCCCUCCCACUCUGAAGAUUCUUUCGCUUCUAUUAAUUUUAAGUCUGGUUAAAAAAAUAGUGCUUGAGGCCAUCCUGGUCUACAGAGUGAGUUCCAGGACAGCCAUGGUUAAAAGAGAAACCCUGUCUCAAAAAAACCAAAACAAACAAAAAAAAAUAGUGCUUAAAUUAAACAUAAAAACAAUUAGCAUUUACAUUUGAAUAAUGCUUCUUCAUGUUUAUUACCAUGUACAUUACUAGGAACUGGAAGUCCAAUCUUGUAAAAAAUUAAAAUUCAAGACAGGCCUUUAUAGUGAGGUUAUUGUCUUUUCAUUAUAACUCAUUUUUUACAGCCAGCUAAUUUUCCAGAGGGAAUUACUGUUCCUAUCUUUAGUCAAUUUGGUUAAGAAUUCUUUGCCUUUAAAUAUAUAAAAAUGUUUGUGUAUGAUUUUAUUUUUCUGUGAGAGCAUUAAGGUUAGAGGACAACUUGUGGGCAUGCUAUUCUUUUACCUAGGAAUGGAACGCAUUUCCACCCUGUGACAGGGUCUCAUGUAUCCUUAGAUAGCCUGGAACUCACCUGUAUAGAUCACAUUGACUGAAAUUUCAGAGAUUCCUCUGCCCCUCUAUUCCUGGGAUUAAAGGUGUACAACACUGCCACCAGCAUUAAAAAUUGUCUUUAUA